rnacentral:rRNA from 1 species
UACGUAGGGUGCGAGCGUUGUCCGGAAUUAUUGGGCGUAAAGAGCUCGUAGGCGGUUUGUCGCGUCGACUGUGAAAACCCGAGGCUUAACCUCGGGCCUGCAGUCGAUACGGGCAGACUAGAGUUCGGUAGGGGAGACUGGAAUUCCUGGUGUAGCGGUGAAAUGCGCAGAUAUCAGGAGGAACACCGGAGGCGAAGGCGACUUCCUGGCCUGUUCUUGACGCUGAGGCGCGAAAGCUAGGGGAGCAAACGGG